ACACCCAGAAAGGCAAGUCUGAGUCAUAACAACAUGCAAGAGGACACCAGUGGAGGUUUGUCUGUGCACACCACAAACUACAGAGGUCUAUGAGAGAGCAGCACAAAGCUACAGCAGCCUCAGAACUACUGAAGAAGUGAAGAAGUAAAGGGGAGAGGGGAACUUUACAGCCAACAUGAAGUUUCACCUAAGGAUUUCUUUACUUUUCUUCCUCGUUACUGGAACUUUAACACAAGAAUUCGACUUGGGAGAUGCCCUCAAUGACCUAGCACCCACACCUCCCAAACCCAAAGACCCAAAGAAGGCCCCGCCCAAAUCUGACGGUGACCUCAACCUUUUCGAUGCUUUUGGACCAGGUGCGCCACCAACUGAAAAACCAAAGCAACCAAGUUCUGGAGGUACUGGUGGCUUUGGAUUUGAUCUGGAGGAUGCUGUCAAACCAGACCCCAACCCAAAACCUGACAAACCGGCCAUCGACAAACCAAGCGGAGGGGGUGGAAGACCGUUCGGAGACUCGGACUUGGUGGACGUCAACGAAGGGGACUACACACCUGACAGGGGACACUCAGGAGGUCGAGCAUCGGACCCCGGCUACGAUCAGGGUGGUGCCGAUCAGCCUCAAGAUCCAGACCUUCUGUGGGGCAAAAUCCUGAAGAUGAUUUAUGCUAACAUGCCAGAGGAAUUCUAUGCAUGGACAUCCAACUUAAAGCAAAUCUUGGCGCCUUUGUUAGACAGGGUCAUGGAUCUGCUGCAAGCCUUGCCAUGA
ensembl:lncRNA